AGUAUUAAUCAUUAGCAUUUCUUCACUAUUGAAAGUGCUUUACAACCCUCAGGCCUUCUUCACACACGCGGCAUUGCUGGAUCAGGCUUGCGCCCAUUGUCCAAUGUUCCCC
rnacentral:rRNA from 1 species